rnacentral:rRNA from 1 species
UACAGAGGUCUCGAGCGUUGUUCGGAUUCAUUGGGCGUAAAGGGUGCGUAGGUGGCGCCGUAAGUCGGGUGUGAAAUUUCGGAGCUUAACUUCGAAACUGCAUUCGAUACUGCGGUGCUUGAGGACUGGAGAGGAGACUGGAAUUCAUGGUGUAGCAGUGAAAUGCGCAGAUAUCAGGAGGAACACCGGUGGCGAAGGCGGGUCUCUGGGCCGAUACUGACGCUGAGGAGCGAAAGCGUGGGGAGCGAACAGG